UCCAAGUGAAGAGACAAUCACAUGUCUUACCUCCUGUCCUAGUCCCAGAGCCUGUAAAGGUGAACCACUGGGUUUGUCUAUAACCUUUUCUGCAU